rnacentral:tRNA from 3 species
GGUUCGAUGGUGUAGUUGGUUAUCACGUCAGUCUAACAAUGUUAGUCCACUGAAGGUCUCCAGUUCAAGUCUGGGUCGAAUCA